AGAGUUUGAUCAUGGCUCMGGACGAACGCUGGCGGCGUGCUUAACACAUGCAAGUCGCGCGAGAAAACCCCUUCGGGGGUGAGUACAGCGGCGGACGGGUGAGUAACACGUGAGCGAUCUACCCGGUGGCGGGGGACAACCCAGGGAAACCUGGACUAAUACCGCAUACAGCGGAGGGAGUAGGUGCCCUUCGUGAAAGCUGGCCUCUCCAUGGAAGCUAGCGCCGCCGGAGGAGCUCGCGGCCUAUCAGCUUGUUGGUGGGGUAACGGCCUACCAAGGCGAUGACGGGUAGCUGACGUGAGAGCGUGACCAGCCACACUGGGACUGAGACACGGCCCAGACUCCUACGGGAGGCAGCAGUGGGGAAUAUUGCGCAAUGGGCGAAAGCCUGACGCAGCGACGCCGCGUGGGGGAGGAAGGCCUUAGGGUUGUAAACCCCUGUCGGGUGGGACGAACCCUGGGUCGACGAAUAGUUGGCUCAGCUGACGGUACCAUCAGAGGAAGCUCCGGCUAACUCCGUGCCAGCAGCCGCGGUAAUACGGGGGGAGCAAGCGUUGUUCGGAAUCACUGGGCGUAAAGCGCGCGUAGGCGGCCGAGUAAGUCGUAUGUGAAAGACCGGGGCUCAACUCCGGUAUUGCAUGCGAUACUGCCCGGCUGGAGAAAGGUAGAGGCAAGUGGAAUUCCCGGUGUAGCGGUGGAAUGCGUAGAUAUCGGGAAGAACACCUGUGGCGAAGGCGGCUUGCUGGGACUUUUCUGACGCUGAAGUGCGAAAGCGUGGGGAGCAAACAGGAUUAGAUACCCUGCUAGUCCACGCCGUAAACGAUGGGUACUAGGCGUUGGGAGGAUUUGACCCUCUCAGUGCCGUAGCU
rnacentral:rRNA from 1 species